UACGGGGGGAGCAAGCGUUGUUCGGAUUUACUGUGCGUAAAGGGCGCGUAGGCGGCCACCGCAAGUCGGUUGUGAAAUCUCUGGGCUUAACCCAGAAAGGUCAACCGAUACUGCGGGGCUAGAGUGCAGAAGGGGCAACUGGAAUUCUCGGUGUAGCGGUGAAAUGCGUAGAUAUCAAGCGGAACACCGGUGGCGAAGGCGGCCUUCUGGACGAUGACUGACGCUGAGACGCGAAAGCGUGGGGAGCAAACAGG
rnacentral:rRNA from 1 species